GUGAAGAACGAACCCUCCUGCGUGGUAGUAAAUCCUUUGUCAGGGGAUGAGAAAUGUCUGUACCCAGCCUCAGAGACGCCGCGACUAUCUCUGCCAGCAGCAGCCGCGGUACGACAGAGGUCCGAGUGUUAGGGAGUAUCACUGGGUAUAACAGCGUGAGUAGGCGGAUCUGUUACGUACGUGAAAAAUCGCGCUCAUUUCCCGUGGAACUGCUUGGUAUAGUGCGGAUCUUUGCCCAUCUAGGGGCGAGCGGAACAAACGGUGGAGCGGUGAAUAUGUAGUAGAUAUCGUGUGCACCGCCAACGAUGACGGCAGUUCGCUGGGGAUGUGCCGAUCAUGAGACACGAAAGCCAGAGGAGCGAACGGGAUUAGAUACCCCAGUACUCGUGGUAGUAAACGAUGUCAAGUAGAUGGUAGUGGCUCUGAUGAUAUUACGAUCGAAGCAAAAGUGCUAAGUUGACCGCGUGGGAAGUCCCGUCGCAAGGCUACAACUCAAAGGAAUGGGCGGGGGAUCACACAAGGGGCGGAGCAUGUGGUUCAAUUCGAAGCAACGAGCAGAACCUUACCUGGGCAUGGCAGUCCAGGAUUAUCGCCAUGAAAGUGGGGUAGUCCCUUCGGCGUCCAACUGGUACAGCUGGUGCAUGGUCGUCGUCAGUUCGGGUAGUGAGAUGUAGGGUUAAGUCCGAUAACGAGCGUAACCUUUGCCCUUAGUCACCAGCGGGUUCUGCCGGGGGCUAUAAGGGGACUCCCGGUGUCAAACCGGAGGAAGGUGGAGAAGUCGUCAAGUCCUCAUGGCCCCUAUGCCCAGGGCCACACCAGUGGUGCAAUCGGGUCCCCAGAGGGAACCGAGAGCGCAAGCAUGAGGAAAAGUCAUAAAUGACGCCCCAGUUCUGAUCGGAUGGUGCACCUGGCGUCGGUGAAGUUGGUAUUGGUAGUAAUCCCGGAUCAGGUGAGUCGCGGUGAAUGCGUUCUUCACCCUUGUACACACCCCAUGGCAAGUCAUGGGAGCCGGAAAUAGCCGAAGUGGCCCCAGCGGGCAGGUCCCUACGGUAGGUUCGGUGACUGGGAUUAAGUCGUAACAAGGUAACC
rnacentral:rRNA from 1 species